CGUUGAGGCGGGGCCCGCCUGUGGGGCUGGGGUUCCUGCUGGCUGCCUCGCUGUUCCAGCCAGUCUCUGAGGUCUGGUUCAAAACUCCUUCUCUAAGAUCCUCCAUUCUGAUUUUAAAUUUAUCACCCAAAUUUUUCUUCUUCCAGAUUAAGGCUUUGGCGACUGCCUCCUGCACACGAUCAGUUGGUUCACCCUCCAGGUACAUCUCAUCCAGAUUUUCCAGGCUGUUUUGCUUGCGGAGACCGCUUGCCGAACUCUUCCCGACUGGGCAACGAUUUUCCAGUUUCGCUAUCGCUGUAGCUUCAGCAGGGAAAGAGAUCUACUUCUAGCCGGGUUUAGGAGCCGUUGCUGUGGACGGAGAGACGGGGACGUGAGCGGCCAUUGAGGACAG